rnacentral:rRNA from 1 species
UGGAAGUAGAAGUCGUAACAAGGUCUCCGUUGGUGAACCAGCGGAGGGAUCAUUACCGAGUUUACAACUCCCAAACCCAAUGUGAACGUUACCAAACUGUUGCCUCGGCGGGGUCACGCCCCGGGUGCGUCGCAGCCCCGGAACCAGGCGCCCGCCGGAGGAACCAACCAAACUCUUUCUGUAGUCCCCUCGCGGACGUAUUUCUUUACAGCUCUGAGCAAAAAUUCAAAAUGAAUCAAAACUUUCAACAACGGAUCUCUUGGUUCUGGCAUCGAUGAAGAACGCAGCGAAAUGCGAUAAGUAAUGUGAAUUGCAGAAUUCAGUGAAUCAUCGAAUCUUUGAACGCACAUUGCGCCCGCCAGUAUUCUGGCGGGCAUGCCUGUCCGAGCGUCAUUUCAACCCUCGAACCCCUCCGGGGGAUCGGCGUUGGGGAUCGGGACCCCUCACACGGGUGCCGGCCCCUAAAUACAGUGGCGGUCUCGCCGCAGCCUCUCCUGCGCAGUAGUUUGCACAACUCGCACCGGGAGCGCGGCGCGUCCACGUCCGUAAAACACCCAACUUUCUGAAAUGUUGACCUCGGAUCAGGUAGGAAUACCCGCUGAACUUAAGCAUAUCAAUAAGCGGAGGA